UACAGAGGGGGCAAGCGUUAUUCGGAAUUAUUGGGCGUAAAGGGCGCGUAGGCGGCUUUGCAAGUGACGGGUGAAAGCCCUCGGCUUAACCGAGGAACUGCCUGUCAGACUGUAAGGCUUGAGACCGGGAGAGGUGAGUGGAAUUCCCAGUGUAGCGGUGAAAUGCGUAGAUAUUGGGAGGAACACCAACGGCGAAGGCAGCUCGCUGGGACGGUACUGACGCUGAGACGCGAAAGCGUGGGGAGCGAACAGG
rnacentral:rRNA from 1 species